rnacentral:rRNA from 1 species
GAUGAACGCUAGCUACAGGCUUAACACAUGCAAGUCGAGGGGAAACGGGAGAAUAGCUUGCUAUUCUUUGUCGUCGACCGGCGCACGGGUGAGUAACGCGUAUCCAACCUUCCCAUAACUAAGGAAUACCCCGUAGAAAUGCGGCCUAAUCCCUUAUGGUCCCUUAUACCUGACAUCGGAAUAAGAGUAAAGAUUUAUCGGUUAUGGAUGGGGAUGCGUCUGAUUAGCUUGCUGGCGGGGUAACGGCCCACCAGGGCAUCGAUCAGUAGGGGUUCUGAGAGGAAGGUCCCCCACAUUGGAACUGAGACACGGUCCAAACUCCUACGGGAGGCAGCAGUGAGGAAUAUUGGUCAAUGGGCGAGAGCCUGAACCAGCCAAGUAGCGUGCAGGACGACGGCCCUAUGGGUUGUAAACUGCUUUUUAAGGGGAAUAAAGAGGGGCACGCGUGCCCUGUUGCAUGUACCC